GCAGGAGGAAACAGGCUCAGAGCAGACACAGAGCUUGAUGAAGUUACAUAGCCACGAAGUGACGGGGUCUGACCAUCAAACCAGAGCCUGCAGUCCUAACCACCACACUGCACUCUCCCUCUGGCUUAGUUUCCAAGAUGGACAAGAUACAGCCCUGGCGGUCCAAGGGCACAGAGCAUCAGAAGGACACAGAGCCCCCAGGGCACCCCUGAGGCACCCCCGGAGUUCCAGGGAGCACAGUUUGAAAGCACAGUAUUACAGGAGUGCGCGCCAUAAGCAGAAUGAAAAACGCUUUCUAAAAUCUACCUGCCCCCAACCAAACCUGGAUUGGAAGCUUCUUGAGGGCCAGCAGCACCUGGCGCCUGCUGAAAACACAAGUGUCUGUGAAGUGGAUGGAGGAGUGAAGCCUUUGUUUUCAUUUCCGAGGUCUGGCUCAGCUUCUCAGUCCCGGGACGCCCUCGCUGCAGUCCUUCAUGACCCUGUAAGGCAGGCGACAGUCUCCGGCUGCUCCCGGAUGGCGAGUUUGCGCUUUCCUUGCCUUUGUAUCAGAAUGAUUUGUGGCUUCUCAGGUGGAACGGCUGGUGAUAUAAUUAACAUUUCAAAACUUCGCAACCACAAAUUGAAUUUGUUUUGAAUAUUUGGGGAUGUUUAAACAGUAGCUUGAGUGUUAAAUUUGCACUUUAUGGGAG
rnacentral:lncRNA from 1 species